rnacentral:rRNA from 1 species
GACGAACGCUGGCGGCGUGCCUAAUACAUGCAAGUCGAACGCAGUUGGGACGGGUGAGUAACACGUGGGUAAACUCCCAUAAGAGGGGAUAACACUUGGAAACAGGUGCUAAACCGAUACGGAUGGCUGGUCCGGCGGUGCCUUAGCUAGUUGGGGAGGUAACGGCUCACCAAGGCCACGAUGCAUAGCGGAGCUGAGAGGGUGAUCGGCCACACUGGGACUGAGACACGGCCCAGACUCCUACGGGAGGCAGCAGUAGGGAAGCUUCGGCAAUGGACGAAAGUCUGACCGAGCAACGCCGCGUGAGUGAAGAAGGUUUUCGGAUCGUAAAGCUCUGUUGUUAGAGAGGCGGUAUCUAACCAGAAAGCCACGGCUAACUACGUGCCAGCCGCCGCGGUAAUAC